rnacentral:rRNA from 1 species
AGAGUUUGAUCCUGGCUCAGGAUGAACGCUAGCGGCAGGCUUAACACAUGCAAGUCGAGGGGCAGCGCGGAGUAGCAAUACUCUGGCGGCGACCGGCGGAAGGGUGCGUAACACGUGAGCGACUUGCCCGUCACAGGGAGAUAACCGCUGGAAACGGCGACUAAUAUCCCAUAUGAUGGCGAUCUGCAUGGAUUGUCAUUGAAAGAUUCAUCGGUGACGGAUAGGCUCGCGGGGCAUUAGCUAGACGGCGGGGCAACGGCCCACCGUGGCGACGAUGCCUAGGGGUUCUGAGAGGAAGACCCCCCACACUGGGACUGAGACACGGCCCAGACUCCUACGGGAGGCAGCAGUGAGGAAUAUUGGUCAAUGGGCGGAAGCCUGAACCAGCCAUGCCGCGUGCGGGAAGGAGGCCCUAUGGGCUGUGAACCGCUUUUGCCUGGGGGCAAUAAGGGCGUCGCGCACGUCCGAUGAGAGUACCAGGCGAAUAAGCAUCGGCUAACUCCGUGCCAGCAGCCGCGGUAAUACGGGGGAUGCGAGCGUUAUCCGGAUUUAUUGGGUUUAAAGGGUGCGUAGGCGGAAGUGCAAGUCAGCGGUGAAAUCCCCGCGCUCAACGCGGGAGUUGCCGUUGAUACUGUACAUCUGGAAUGCUCUUGCCGUGGGAGGAAUGAGUAGUGUAGCGGUGAAAUGCAUAGAUAUUACUCAGAACACCGAUUGCGAAGGCAUCUCACGAAGGGGCGAUUGACGCUGAGGCACGAAAGCGUGGGUAUCGAACAGGAUUAGAUACCCUGGUAGUCCACGCAGUAAACGAUGAUGGCUAACUGUCGGGUUUUAGGAUUCGGCGGCCAAGCGAAAGCGAUAAGCCAUCCACCUGGGGAGUACGACCGCAAGGUUGAAACUCAAAGGAAUUGACGGGGGCCCGCACAAGCGGAGGAACAUGUGGUUUAAUUCGAUGAUACGCGAGGAACCUUACCCGGGCUCAAACGCAGGGGGAAUGUCGGUGAAAGCCGGCAGCUAGUAAUAGUCACCUGCGAGGUGCUGCAUGGUUGUCGUCAGCUCGUGCCGUGAGGUGUCGGCUUAAGUGCCAUAACGAGCGCAACCCCUCUCCUCAGUUGCCAUCAGGUCAAGCUGGGCACUCUGGGGACACUGCCACCGUAAGGUGUGAGGAAGGUGGGGAUGACGUCAAAUCAGCACGGCCCUUACGUCCGGGGCUACACACGUGUUACAAUGGGGGGUACAGAGGGCCGCUACCACGCGAGUGGAUGCCAAUCCCUAAAACCCCUCUCAGUUCGGACUGGAGUCUGCAACCCGACUCCACGAAGCUGGAUUCGCUAGUAAUCGCGCAUCAGCCAUGGCGCGGUGAAUACGUUCCCGGGCCUUGUACACACCGCCCGUCAAGCCAUGAAAGCCGGUGGCGCCUGAAGUACGUGACCGAAAGGAGCGUCCUAGGGCGAAAGCGGUAAUUGGGGCUAAGUCGUAACAAGGUAGCCGUACCGGAAGGUGUGGCUG